rnacentral:miRNA from 1 species
UGGAGAUCCAGUGCUCGCCCGAU